UGAGAUAUAACCCAACCCCACAUGAAUGUUGACGUUGACAGAUGAGUUACAGUAGAAUGCUUGUGGAUAAGUCUGAAUUGAUAUAUUUUAGAAUUGAAGAUAUGUUUGAAUUUAAAUUAUAGAAGAGGCGUUAUUGUUUGAUGUGCAAUAUUUAAACAUGACGGAAGUAGAUGUGUUUAUUAGUAACUAUACUGUGGUAGAUCCAGAAAUUUACCAACUGUGGGUUGAUGGAUAUACUGCCAGUGAAGCAGUGAAUAUACUAAAUGGCAAAGGUCUUGGCCAACAAACUGGUGCCUCGAUUGAGCUAAUUGCCAGUGAUGUCUUGGAUCACUAUCGUACAUAUUCCUUACUCGAAAAACUGCUAAGUUAUCCCAAUAAGUUACAAGAGCAGUUUGUCUUACAAAUUGAUUCCCAGACCAGUUCAUUACUCGUUGAAAAAUACUAUGAAUUUGAUGAUGAGGUUAUUCGGGAGAUACUGGGUAAAAAAUUGUCUUCAAAAAAUAGAAAAGAUUUGGAUGAGGUGGCCGAAAAGACAGGAAAACCUUUGAAAUCAUGCAGGCGACAAUUUGAUAAUGUUAAAAAAAUAUUCAAAAGUGUAGAGGAGGUUCCUGGAUCUACUGUUGAAAAUGUUAAAAAUUCAUUUCAAUUGAGUGAUGAGCUUGCAAAGAAAUACUCUUGUAUUGUGUUUGUAGCUUGCAUGAGAUUUGAAACAUCUAAAAAGAAGCUUCAGCAUAUGUCGUUCAAUGAUUUUCGAAUAUGUUGUGAAUCUAUAAUGGAACAUUGGACAUAUAAUUUAGCAGGUACAGAAUAUAAUGAUUUAGAAAUGGAUAGAGAAUUCUUAUUUGAACUAAGAGAACUUAAAGCGCUCUUGGAUAAAGAUAGAGAGCAUAAACAAAAAACUUUCUUGAUCUGGAUAUGAAUUUUAAGCUGUAUACUAGAACAUUAUUGACUUUAGCUACUACUCUUCAUAGAUCCAGGGAUAUGAAGGACUUGUUCGUUGAUUUGGCUCAAAUUUCAGAAUAUUUCAAACAAGGAAAUUGGACCAACCAUGAUUUUGAACAGUUCCUUUUAGCUUAUGGUCACUGUGCAAAUGAAGUUGAACCUUUAAGGAGUAAUUCGGCAUUGAAAUUUAGCUGGGAAAAGUUUAUGAAAGUUAUUACAAAGUGUUUAUUAGUAAUAUAUAAUUAAAACGUUUUGAAAUGUCUUCAUAUUAGAAUGUAAAUAAAAAUAGUGUAGCAUAUGAUUUUCUAAACCCUUAAUAUUUUUUUGAAUAAUAAAUGUUGAAGUAAAAUGAA
rnacentral:misc_RNA from 1 species